AUGCCGUCUUCGCCGCGUGCUCACUCCUCUUUCUGUCAGCCUCUUUCUCUCAGGAGUUUACGUUACAUUCAGAUCCACUGGUGGUUGUACUCGCCUUGGGAGCUGAAUCAUGAAGAUGCUGCCGGUACACUGCAACAUGCACCCUCUCUCUUUCUCACCCUAACUACCCCCUUCUUCUUUCCUGUUGCCUUGUUUUCAAUGGAAGCAGGUUUUAGCCAUGGUGGUGGGGCUUCAUCAAGUUCUUGUUGGGGUAAAAAUGGAGCAUGGAGUAAGCUAAGAGAUGAGCCAUAUUUGGCAAGGAAGGUGGCCUCACUUUGCUUUUGCCAGAUCUAG
rnacentral:rRNA from 1 species